rnacentral:rRNA from 6 species
GUUAUAGGGACAAGUGAAUAAGUGCACAUGGCGGAUGCCUUGGCGAUUACAGGCGAUGAAGGACGUAGUAGCUUGCGAUAAGCUGCGGGGAGCUAGCAAACAAGCUUUGAUCCGCAGAUUUCCGAAU